rnacentral:rRNA from 1 species
ACGCUAGCUACAGGCUUAACACAUGCAAGUCGAGGGGAAACGGCAUUGAGUGCUUGCACUCUUUGGACGUCGACCGGCGCACGGGUGAGUAACGCGUAUCCAACCUUCCCAUUACUGUGGGAUAACCUGCCGAAAGGCAGACUAAUACCGCAUAGUCUUCGAUGACGGCAUCAGAUUUGAAGUAAAGAUUUAUCGGUAAUGGAUGGGGAUGCGUCUGAUUAGCUUGUUGGCGGGGUAACGGCCCACCAAGGCGACGAUCAGUAGGGGUUCUGAGAGGAAGGUCCCCCACAUUGGAACUGAGACACGGUCCAAACUCCUACGGGAGGCAGCAGUGAGGAAUAUUGGUCAAUGGACGGAAGUCUGAACCAGCCAAGUAGCGUGCAGGAAGACGGCCCUAUGGGUUGUAAACUGCUUUUGUAUGGGGAUAAAGUUAGGGACGUGUCCCUAUUUGCAGGUACCAUACGAAUAAGGACCGGCUAAUUCCGUGCCAGCAGCCGCGGUAAUACGGAAGGUCCAGGCGUUAUCCGGAUUUAUUGGGUUUAAAGGGAGCGUAGGCUGGAGAUUAAGUGUGUUGUGAAAUGUAGACGCUCAACGUCUGAAUUGCAGCGCAUACUGGUUUCCUUGAGUACGCACAACGUUGGCGGAAUUCGUCGUGUAGCGGUGAAAUGCUUAGAUAUGACGAAGAACUCCGACUGCGAAGGCAGCUGACGGGAGCGCAACUGACGCUUAAGCUCGAAGGUGCGGGUAUCAAACAGGAUUAGAUACCCUGGUAGUCCGCACAGUAAACGAUGGAUGCCCGCUGUUGGUACCUGGUAUCAGCGGCUAAGCGAAAGCAUUAAGCAUCCCACCUGGGGAGUACGCCGGCAACGGUGAAACUCAAAGGAAUUGACGGGGGCCCGCACAAGCGG